UGCCAGACUCCUACGGGAGGCAGCAGUGGGGGAUAUUGCACAAUGGGGGAAACCCUGAUGCAGCGACGCCGCGUGGGUGAAGAAGCGCCUCGGCGCGUAAAGCCCUGUCAGCAGGGAAGAAAAUGACGGUACCUGAAGAAGAAGCCCCGGCUAACUACGUGCCAGCAGCCGCGGUAAUACGUAGGGGGCAAGCGUUAUCCGGAUUUACUGGGUGUAAAGGGAGCGUAGACGGCAUGGCAAGUCAGAUGUGAAAGCCCGGGGCUCAACCCCGGGACUGCAUUUGAAACUGUGAAACUGGAGUGCAGGAGAGGCAAGCGGAAUUCCUGGUGUAGCGGUGAAAUGCGUAGAUAUCAGGAGGAACACCAGUGGCGAAGGCGGCUUACUGAACUGUAACUGACGUUGAGGCUCGAAAGCGUGGGGAGCAAACAGGAUUAGAUACCCGUGUACA
rnacentral:rRNA from 1 species